AGCGAACGUUAGCGGCGCGCCUAACACAUGCAAGUCGCACGAGAAAGGGAGCAAUCCCCGGUACAGUGGCGCACGGGUGAGUAACACGUAGAUGACCUUCCCUGGAGUGGUGGAUAACCUGCCGAAAGGCGGGCUAAUACAGCAUGGGACCACAUGGUUUUGACCGAGUGGUGAAAGCGGGCCUCUGUUCACAAGCUCGCGCUCUGGGAUGGGUCCGCGUCCCAUCAGCUAGUUGGUGAGGUAAUGGCUCACCAAGGCAUCGACGGGUAGCUGGUCUGAGAGGAUGACCAGCCACACUGGAACUGAGACACGGUCCAGACUCCUACGGGAGGCAGCAGUGGGGAAUCUUGCGCAAUGGGGGAAACCCUGACGCAGCAACGCCGCGUGGGUGAUGAAGGCCCUUGGGUCGUAAAGCCCUGUCUGGAGGAAAGAAUCCCGCUCUCGCUAAUACCGGGAGUGGAUGACGGUACCUCUGAAGGAAGCACCGG
rnacentral:rRNA from 1 species